GACGAACGCCGGCGGUGUGCUUAACACAUGCAAGUCGAACGGUAAGGCCCUUUCGGGGGUCCACGAGUGGCGAACGGGUGAGUAACACGUGAGUAACCUGCCCUCAUCUCUGGGAUAACAGUCGGAAACGGUUGCUAAUACUGGAUAUGAGCUUGCAAGGCAUCUUGUGGGUUGGAAAGAUUUUUUUGGUUGGGGAUGGACUCGCGGCCUAUCAGCUUGUUGGUGAGGUAGUGGCUCACCAAGGCUUCGACGGGUAGCCGGCCUGAGAGGGCGACCGGCCACAUUGGGACUGAGAUACGGCCCAAACUCCUACGGGAGGCAGCAGUGGGGAAUAUUGCACAAUGGACGGAAGUCUGAUGCAGCAACGCCGCGUGCGGGAUGACGGCCUUCGGGUUGUAAACCGCUUUCAAUUGUGACGAAGCUUUUUGUGACGGUAGCAGUAGAAGAAGCACCGGCUAACUACGUG
rnacentral:rRNA from 1 species